GGAAGAUUGGCGCCGGACGGAUGACUUGCAAACCCGGUCAGGUUCGGAAGAAAGCAGCCGUAGCGAUUCUCGUUCGGGUCGGCGUCCAGUCUUCCACC
rnacentral:SRP_RNA from 1 species